rnacentral:rRNA from 1 species
GACAGAGGGUGCAAACGUUGCUCGGAAUUACUGGGCGUAAAGCGCGUGUAGGCGGAUUGGUGUGUCGGAUGUGAAAUCCCCAGGCUCAACCUGGGAACUGCAUUCGAAACUGCCAGUCUUGAGUAGUGGAGAGGGAAGUGGAAUUCCUGGUGUAGAGGUGAAAUUCGUAGAUAUCAGGAGGAACACCAGUGGCGAAGGCGGCUUCCUGGACACUAACUGACGCUGAGACGCGAAAGCGUGGGGAGCAAACAGG